ensembl:snoRNA Gm23877 small nucleolar RNA SNORA68
CCCACACCCAAUCCAAGAACCUCUGCUGCCUGUAGCAGCCAUUAAAUAGUGGUGUGCACAGCAAAGGGGCUUUGUUGCCUUUUGGAAGCUGUGUGGUGUCCCCAGAGUGGACUGGGAGGUUCCAAUGUC